rnacentral:rRNA from 1 species
UACGGAGGGUGCAAGCGUUGUUCGGAAUCACUGGGCGUAAAGGGUGCGUAGGCGGGUUUUUAAGUCAGGGGUGAAAUCCUGGAGCUCAACUCCAGAACUGCCUUUGAUACUGAAGAUCUUGAGUCCGGGAGAGGUGAGUGGAACUGCGAGUGUAGAGGUGAAAUUCGUAGAUAUUCGCAAGAACACCAGUGGCGAAGGCGGCUCACUGGCCCGGUACUGACGCUGAGGCACGAAAGCGUGGGGAGCAAACAGG